GCUUGCCAGAAAGCAGGGUUAUGGAGGAAUUACUGGGGGGAAGCCAGCAUGAGCUCAAAGUCCACGACCUUAGCUUCAGGAGCUCCUUCUUAUGUUUUGUUCUUCACUUCAUGACCUUAAUCUUGGCAGAGGCUGUGAUUGGAUACAACAAUUUCAGAGUUCUUGAUCAUGGAAGUAGAACACCACUUCUGGUUGAUGGGAGAAUCACUUCUCAUCUACUUAGCUGAAAGAAUGAAGAUUUCGGUUUGGAGGAGAGCCGAUUUCUUUAAAAAAAAAGUCAGUUGCUUCAGGCAACAGUCCUUUUGAUCUGCUCAUUAACACUUUUCAAAUGUUCGAGUGAUGUGGGCAUUCUUUGUGCUAGAAAAUGUCAGCACUCGAGCCUGGAGCCAGCUUGAUGCAAUCAUAUGUUCUGAUAUUGGUAGAAGAGUGAAAAGAACUGUCAACAGUGAACUGCCUUGGAGGGAAAAAAAAAAUAAAGAUACUCUACAAGGAUUGCAGAUGAAGUAGAAUUUCAGAAUUGAUUCUUGCCAGUAACUGAAAAGACUGCCCAAGCCAUCAGCAAGUGUCAUAAGCCAAUAAAACAGCUAUCUCUGCAUGCACAUAAAAUUGUUAAAAAAUAUUUCCUCCCUUUUUUCUUUUCUUUUU